rnacentral:tRNA from 1 species
GGGCCCGUAGCUCAGCUGGGAGAGCACCUGCCUUGCAUGCAGGGGGUCGACGGUUCGAUCCCGUUCGGGUCCA